GGCUCAGUUGGUAGAGCAUGGUGUUUGCAACGCCAGCAUGGUGUUGUGGGUUCGAUUCCCAC
rnacentral:tRNA from 1 species